GUGAAGUUGCGCGGAAAAUUACCGGGGCUAAACUAUACACCGAAAUUGCGGAUUUGCAUAGAAAUAUGUAAGUGGUAGAGGAGCAUUCUAUAGUAGGACGAAGCAUAAUCGAAAGGAUAUGUGGACGAGAUAGAAGAGAGAAUGCCGGAAUAAGUAGCGAAAGCAUGGUGAGAAUCCAUGCCAUCGAAAGUCUAAGGUUUCCUGGGGAAGGUUCGUCCGCCCAGGGUAAGUCGGGACCUAAGGAGAGGCCGAAAAGCGUAUCCGAUGGACAGCAGGUAGAAAUUCCUGCACUACGUAAUACUUAAAAGACAUAAAUGACACAGGAGUGGAAGAUAAGCGAGGAAGAGGAAAGACUCGUAUCGAAAGAUAUAGUGAAAAUUAAAGUAACGAAUUAUCAAGAAACUAAUGGCGAGAAAAGUUUAUGGAUAUUGUAUUAAGUACCCGUACCGCAAACCGACACAGGUAGAUGAGGAGAAGAUCCUAAGAUGAGCGAGAGAAGCAUUGUUAAGGAACUCGGCAAACUGACCCCGUAACUUCGGAAUAAGGGGUGCUGGAGUAAAAUCCAGUCGCAGAGAAUAGUCCCAAGCAACUGUUUAACAAAAACACAGGUUUCUGCUAAAUCGAAAGAUGAAGUAUAGGAGCUGACACCUGCCCAGUGCUGGAAGGUUAAGGGAAAGAGUUAGACGCAAGUCGAAGCUUAGAACUAAAGCCCCAGUGAACGGCGGCCGUAACUAUAACGGUCCUAAGGUAGCGAAAUUCCUUGUCAGGUAAGUUCUGACCCGCACGAAAGGUGUAAUGAUUUGGGAGCUGUCUCGACAAUGUACUCGGCGAAAUUGUAGUACUAGUGAAGAUGCUAGUUACCUGCGACAAGACAGAAAGACCCCAUGGAGCUUUACUGCAGUUUGAUACUGGGUUUCGAUGAUUUAUGUACAGGAUAGUUGGGAGACUAUGAAAGAGAGGCGUCAGCUUCUCCGGAGUCGUUGUUGGGAUACCAACCUUAAGUUAUUGAAAUUCUAACUUGUAAUCGUAAACCGGUUAGAGGACAAUGUCAGACGGGCAGUUUGACUGGGGCGGUCGCCUCCUAAAGAGUAACGGAGGCGCCCAAAGGUUUCCUCAGCGCGGACAGAAAUCGCGCGAAAGAGUGCAAAGGCAGAAGGAAGCUUAACUGAGAGACAGACAUGUCGACCAGAUACGAAAGUAGGUCUUAGUGAUCCGGUGGUUGUAAGUGGAAAUGCCAUCGCUCAACGGACAAAAGUUACCCUGGGGAUAACAGGCUUAUCUCCCCCAAGAGUUCACAUCGACGGGGAGGUUUGGCACCUCGAUGUCGGCUCA
rnacentral:rRNA from 1 species